rnacentral:rRNA from 1 species
UACAGAGGUUGCGAGCGUUAAUCGGAAUGACUGGGCGUAAAGGGCGUGUAGGCGGGAGUGAUAGUCCAAUGUGAAAGCCUAGGGCUUAACCUUGGGAGGCCAUUGGAUACUUUACUUCUAGAGUGUUAUAGAGGGUGGUGGAAUUUCCGGUGUAGCGGUGAAAUGCGUAGAUAUCGGGAAGAACACCGGUGGCGAAGGCGGCCACCUGGAUAGGCACUGACGCUGAGGCGCGAAAGCGUGGGUAGCGAACAGG